rnacentral:miRNA from 1 species
CCUCUCUGAAAUAUAUAUGUGUGUGUGUGUGUGUGUGUGUGUGUGUGUGUAUUAUAUAUACACACACAUAUACAUAUAUAUAUAAAA